GACAGAGGAUGCAAGCGUUAUCCGGAAUGAUUGGGCGUAAAGCGUCUGUAGGUGGCUUUUAAGUCCGCCGUCAAAUCCCAGGGCUCAACCCUGGACAGGCGGUGGAAACUACCAAGCUGGAGUACGGUAGGGGCAGAGGGAAUUUCCAGUGGAGCGGUGAAAUGCGUAGAGAUUGGAAAGAACACCAAUGGCGAAAGCACUUUACUGGGCUAUUACUGACACUGAGAGACGAAAGCUAGGGUAGCAAAUGGG
rnacentral:rRNA from 1 species